rnacentral:lncRNA from 1 species
CACUGAGAGAGAAAGAACAACUUGUCAGGUGGUGCAUUGGAGACUGAUGUGUUCCUGUCCUGUCUUUUCACAAUACUAUUGCAGAUCAACAUAAAAGCCUAAAAGACAGCCGUGGUGUCGCUCUUCAUUUCUUGGUUCUCCUGUGGUGCAUAAGAAACCCGCUACAGAUUGGUGCCGUGACCCGGAUCAACAGAUCAGCUGCAGCAGAUCGCCGGGGGACUCCUACACAGAACUGGAUCGACAUCACACGUUUAAAACAUUUGAGGGCAAGGGAUCCCAGCACCGGUGUCCCCAGUUAUUGCAAGCGGAGGUGCAAACAUGUGGACACCUAAAAAGUAAUGUACUGUUCUGUUAUGGACAUAUUUGUUUUUAAAAUGCCUCUUAGCACCCCACACUCCUGCUGAAUAGUUCAGAACAGGACACAUGCAUGUCUGAUGCAGUUUGGAAUACGCAACAAAACCAAUAUCUUUGAGUGUUUUUCCUAUAACUCCUCCAAGAGCUCUACUUGCUGAGUUGGCCAGGGCAGAUGUUCUGAAAAGAAAGGUAAUAUGUUCAUCAAUAAAAAGACCCAAAUAUUUAUAACUUCUAGUAAACUCAAGAAUGUCUU